rnacentral:rRNA from 1 species
UACGUAGGGUGCAAGCGUUAAUCGGAAUUACUGGGCGUAAAGCGUGCGCAGGCGGUGAUGUAAGACAGUUGUGAAAUCCCCGGGCUCAACCUGGGAACUGCAUCUGUGACUGCAUCGCUGGAGUGCGGCAGAGGGGGAUGGAAUUCCGCGUGUAGCAGUGAAAUGCGUAGAUAUGCGGAGGAACACCGAUGGCGAAGGCAAUCCCCUGGGCCUGCACUGGACGCUCAUGCACGAAAGCGUGGGGAGCAACAGGA